rnacentral:rRNA from 1 species
AUUGAACGCUGGCGGCAGGCCUAACACAUGCAAGUCGAGCGGCAGCGGAAAGUAGCUUGCUACUUUGCCGGCGAGCGGCGGACGGGUGAGUAAUGUCUGGGAAACUGCCUGAUGGAGGGGGAUAACUACUGGAAACGGUAGCUAAUACCGCAUAACGUCGCAAGACCAAAGAGGGGGACCUUCGGGCCUCUUGCCAUCAGAUGUGCCCAGAUGGGAUUAGCUAGUAGGUGGGGUAACGGCUCACCUAGGCGACGAUCCCUAGCUGGUCUGAGAGAAUGAACAGCCAAACUGGAACGGGGACACGGUCCAGACUCCGACGGGAGGCAGCAGUGGGGAAUAUUGCACAAUGGGCGCAAGCCUGAUGCAGCCAUGCCGCGUGUAUGAAGAAGGCCUUCGGGUUGUAAAGUACUUUCAGCGGGGAGGAAGGUGUUGAGGUUAAUAACCUCAGCAAUUGACGUUACCCGCAGAAGAAGCACCGGCUAACUCCGUGCCAGCCGCCGCCGUAAGAC